rnacentral:rRNA from 1 species
GAUGAACGCUAGCGGCAGGCCUAACACAUGCAAGUCGAGGGGUAGAACACUCCGGUGUUUGAGACCGGCGCACGGGCGCGUAACGCGUAUGCAAUCUACCUUAUACAGGGGAAUAGCCCAGAGAAAUCUGGAUUAAUGCCCCAUCGCAUUACGACUUGGCAUCAAGAUGUCGUUAAAGUUCCAUCGGUUUACGAUGAGCAUGCAGCCCAUUAGUUAGGUGGUAAGGUAACGGAUUACCAAGACAAGGAUGGGUAGGGGUACUGAAAGGGAGAUACCCCAGACUGGUACUGGGACACGGACCAGAAUCCUACGGGAGGCAGCAGUGAGGAAGAUAGGUCAAGGGGCGCAAGCCUGAACCAGCCAUGCCGGGUGAAGGAAGACGGUCCUAUGGAUUGUAAACUGCUUUUAUACAGGAAGAAACAUCCCGACGUGUCGGGACUUGACGGUACUGUAAGAAUAAGGAUCGGCUAACUCCGUGCCAGCCGCCGCCGUAACAC